rnacentral:rRNA from 1 species
UACGAGGGGGCGAGCGUUGUUCGGAAUUAUUGGGCGUAAAGGGUGCGUAGGCGGUUUGGUAAGUCUUGUGUGAAAUCUACAGGCUCAACUUGUAGUCUGCACGAGAAACUGCCGGGCUUGAGUGUGGGAGAGGUGAGUGGAAUUCCUGGUGUAGCGGUGAAAUGCGUAGAUAUCAGGAGGAACACCUGUGGCGAAAGCGGCUCACUGGACCAUAACUGACGCUGAUGCACGAAAGCUAGGGGAGCAAACAGG